AGGCUUCGCCUUGUGAAAUUCGAAGCACGAAUAUCGAGACUCGAAACAAAUCACGAUGUUCAAAUUUUCAAAAUCCAAAACGUUUUGAUCAUUUGGAUUUUAGGAUUUAAGUAUUGUUUCGGAUUUCGGAUUUAGAAUUUAGAAUUUCCCAAAGUGGAGCUUUGGGCAAAGGGCUUAACCGCCCGCCGAAAGAGCGGCCUACGUCCUAUCAGCUUGUUGGUGGGGUAAAAGCCUACCAAGGCGAUGACGGGUAGCUGGACUGAGAGGUCGGUCAGCCACAAGGGAACUGAGACACGGUCCCUACACCUACGGGUGGCAGCAACUAGGAAUUUUGGACAAUGGGCGAAAGCCUGAUCCAGCGACGCCGCGUGGGGGAAGAAGGCCUUCGGGUUGUAAACUCCUUUUGUCCCGUGUAAUGCGGGAAGAAUAAGCACCUGCUAACUACGUGCCAGCAGCCGCGGUGAGACGUAGGGUGCAAGCGUUAUCCGGAUUUACUGGGCGUAAAGGGUUGCGUAGGCGUCCAGCUGCAUCUUGUCUGAAAGCCCUCCGCUUAACGGGGGAUCCGGACAGGAAAUGGGCUGGAUUUGAGGUUCAUAGAGGUAGCCGGAACUUGCAGUGGAGCGGUGAAAUGCGUUGAUAUUGCAAGGAACACCGAUGGCGUAGGCAGGCUACUGGGUGAAAUCUGACGCUGAUGCACGAAAGCUAGGGGAGCGAAGCGGAUUAGAGACCCGCGUAGUCCUAGCCGUAAACGAUGGACACUAGCUGUCCGCCAAUUGGUGGAUGGCGCAAGCUAACGCGUUAAGUGUCCCGCCUGGGGAGUACGGCCGCAAGGCUAAAACUCAAAGGAAUUGACGGGGACCCGCACAAGCGGUGGAGCAUGUGGUUUAAUUCGAAACAAAGCGAAAAACCUUACCAGGGUUUGACAUCCUAACUGCACGUUCGCCGAAAGGCGGAUUUCUUCGAGAGUGUUAGGACAGGUGCUGCAUGGCUGUCGUCAGCUUGUACCGUGAGGCGCACCCUUAAGUGGGUUAACAAGCGCAACCCCCAUCCCAUGUUAAAUAUCAUGGGAAACUGCCCGCUAAAAGCGAGGAGGAAGGCGGGGAUGACGUCAAGUCAGCACGGCCCUUAUGCCCUGGGCUACACACAUCCUACAAUGGGUGUAUAACAACGGGUUUGCAACUAGGUAACUGGAAGCUAAUCCUCUCAUGAAGCUGAAAUCGCUAGUAAUCGCGGAUCAGCAGGCCGCGGUGAAUACGUUCUCGGGUCUUGUACACACCGCCCGUCAAGCCAACAAAGUCGGGGGUGCCCGAAGUGUCUAUUUUUAGGCCCUAAGGCAAAACCGGCGAUGGGGACUAAGUCGUUUGAUCAAUCUGAU
rnacentral:rRNA from 1 species